CCUACGGGUGGCAGCAGUGAGGAAUAUUGGUCAAUGGCCGUAAGCCUGAACCAGCCAAGUCGCGUGAAGGAUGAAGGCUCUAUGGUUUUUAAACCUCUUUUAUAGGGGAAUAAAGGUCUCCACGUGUGGAUAUUUGCAUGUACCCCAUGAAUAAGCCUCGGCUAACUCUGUGCCAGCAGCCGCGGUAAUACGGAGUAUGCGGGCGUUAUCCGGGUUUAUUGGGGUUAAAGGGUGCGUAGGUCGGUGUUUAAGGCAGCGGUGAAAGUUUGGGGCUCAACCAUACGAUUGCCGUUGAAACUGGGUGACUUGAGUGUGUGUGAGGUAGGCGGAAUGCGUGGUGUAGCGGUGAAAUGCAUAGAUAUCACGCAGAACACCGAUUGCGAAGGCAGCUUACUAGGCCAUAACUGACGCUGAGGCACGAAAGCGUGGGGAUCGAACAGGAUUAGAUACCCGUGUAGUC
rnacentral:rRNA from 1 species